rnacentral:rRNA from 1 species
ACCAUUCAGAAUAAAUACCCUCUUCCUCGGAUCAAUGAUCUGUAUGAUCAACUGGCGGGUUCGUCAGUGUUCUCUAAGCUCGACUUGAGGUUGGGCUACCACCAGAUCCGUGUUCGCGAAGAGGAUAUCCCAAAGACCGCCUUCGUGACUCGCUAUGGUUCAUACGAGUACACCGUCAUGUCUUUCGGUUUAACCAAUGCUCCAGCCACCUUCUCUCGUAUGAUGAACUACAUAUUCAUGGAUUACCUCGACAAGUUCGUCGUGGUUUAUCUGGAUGAUAUCCUGAUAUUUUCCAAGAACGAAGAAGAACAUGCUGAACAUCUUCGUCUUGUGCUGGAAAAGCUACGAGAACAUCAACUAUAUGCCAAGUUCUCUAAAUGUGAAUUUUGGCUACCCGAA